rnacentral:tRNA from 1 species
GGUAAAAUGGCUGAGGUUAGGCAAUAAAUUGUAAAUUUAUGAACGAAUUAUAUUCUUUUACCA